rnacentral:tRNA from 1 species
GGAAGGACACGCCGAUCGGCGACGGCAGCCGCCUCGAACGCGGCCGAGCGAUGAGCCUUGGGGGUUCGAAUCCCUCUCCUUCCGCC